rnacentral:rRNA from 1 species
GAUGAACGCUGGCGGCGUGCCUAAUACAUGCAAGUCGAGCGAACAGAUGAGGAGCUUGCUCCUCUGACGUUAGCGGCGGACGGGUGAGUAACACGUGGAUAACCUACCUAUAAGACUGGGAUAACUUCGGGAAACCGGAGCUAAUACCGGAUAAUAUAUUGAACCGCAUGGUUCAAUAGUGAAAGACGGUUUUGCUGUCACUUAUAGAUGGAUCCGCGCCGCAUUAGCUAGUUGGUAAGGUAACGGCUUACCAAGGCGACGAUGCGUAGCCGACCUGAGAGGGUGAUCGGCCACACUGGAACUGAGACACGGUCCAGACUCCUACGGGAGGCAGCAGUAGGGAAUCUUCCGCAAUGGGCGAAAGCCUGACGGAGCAACGCCGCGUGAGUGAUGAAGGUCUUCGGAUCGUAAAACUCUGUUAUUAGGGAAGAACAAAUGUGUAAGUAACUAUGCACGUCUGGACGGUACCUAAUCAGAAAGCCACGGCUAACUACGU